UGGUAACCAACUGGUAAUAUGAGGCCGUUAAUAUGAGAGAGACGUCAGACCUAGUUGGGCUUCGAGAGAAAGGCGUCAGUAGCGUUUUGGAAUUCACCGUUCUAUAAAUAGAGCCGUUUCGACAGACUCGAUUCAUAUCAUUUUUGACGAUCGACAUAUGCGAAAUAUAUAUUACUAUAUUGUUAUUAUGGCUGGACGUCAAUCGCGAGUUUUGGAUGUGGAUGAUGUUUUGUGGCAUCUAGAGAACGACGAAUUUUUUCCCGAAGAUGCAUCGGAUGAUAACGACAGUAUGAAAGUGUCUGAUUUUUCCGAGGAAGAGGAUAUUUUAGACACUCAAGCUGACGAAGUUUCGGAAGAUGACGAACGUUCAACGUCUACUGCUCCACCUCGGAGACGAGGCGGGCGUGCUACCAGGGCUGGGGCGAGAAAAAAAUGGUACGUCGCUCCACACCCAGAGGGCGUGAUGCUCGUCCAAGAAACAACUGGACAAAAUCCUUCACAGCGAGGACAAUUCGACCUUUCGGGGGUCAACGACAGGUGCGCAAUCGCCACUUGCACCAAUCGUCGAGUCCCGUAACGUUCUUUCACCAGUUUUUCAAUUCAACUGUAAUUGGAUUUAUAGUAGAAAUGACGAACCUCAACGCCAUCAGAAAACUCCAAGCGGCGGCUGCUACGACCGGCACCGAGUGCAAGCAAUGGGACUCCGUUACUACGGCGGAAUUUCAUUGUUUCCUCGGUCUAAUCAUACUGAUGGGAAUAAUUCGUCUUCCCGUUAUGGAUUUAUAUUGCGGAAGAAGAACUGGCUCCUUGACAUUCCAUGCUUCAACGAAAUAAUGCCAAGGCAGCGCUUCAGAGAUAUUAUGCGAUGCUUACAUCUUUGCCAUGAAAGUGAAGCACCCGCUGCUGACAAUCCAAACAAGGACAAAAUGUUCAAGAUUCGAAAAUUUUUAUCAAUAAUUUUACCACUAUUUGGAAAUGCUCAUAGUAUGGGCCGGGAAAUAUCCACCGACGAGACCUUUAUCCCAUUCAAAGGAAGAAUAAGUUUCCGUCAAUUUAUCAAGUCAAAGCGGGCACGAUUUGGGUACUUGCGGAAUCGUCGACUGGAUAUGUUUCCCGGCUCCAAUUUUUUACGGAAAAAGACCCUACUUCAAAUCCAGAGGAGGGAUUAUCCUCAAGAGUGGUGAAAUAUCUGAUGGAACCAUUUGUCGACCUGAAUCACCACCUUUAUGUCGAAAAUUUUUACACAAGCCCUGAACUUGUUUCAUACCUAUUAUCCAAGGAGAUAUAUGCAUGCGGAACAUUCCGCGCUAAUCGCAUUGGAUUUCCGAAGGAACUCAUAAUAAAAUCGAUUCGAAGUUUGCAGAGAGGGGCGACCGAUUGGUGAAUAGCUGGGGACCUGCUAGCCCAGUCAUGGGUCGAUAACAGGGCCGAUUAAUUUCUAACAACCAUUCAUAACCCUGAAUAUACCAGCGACUAUUCUGGUUCAAAAAUCGUCAAGCGAAAAGGAGGCCGUUCUACGUCACAGACUUCGGAAAUUCUAUGCCCCCCUGUACUCAGAGAUUACAACUCUCACAUGGGGGGUGUGGAUCUUUCCGACCAAAUGAGAAAAUAUUAUAAUUUGACGAGACGUUCGAAAGUAUGGUAUCGGCGCGUAUUUUUAUACAUUAUUGAAGUGGCACUCCACAAUGCAAGAGUGCUGGCCGACAACAUCGAAGGCAAGCACUUGGACGGAUUUACGUUCCGGAUGGCAAUUGUAACUGGCCUGAUUGGGGAUCACAGGUCUCUCGGCGGGUGUCGGGGUCAGGCACCGUUCUGAGACUGCAAAACGUUGGGCGCCACCUUCCAUCGUUUGAUGGAAGACAGGGUGUGUGCCCAGUGUGUUCAAAAAAAAGUAAUUUGGCAUCGAGACUGAAGAAAAACCACAUGUUUCACGAAGCAGAGUAAAAUGCGCCGAGUGUGAUGUACACCUUUGUGUACUUGCAAACAAAACUUGUUUUGCUGAUUGGCACACCAAACUAGAAUAUUGGCGUUAGAGAGCGGGUGUUAUAUUUUGUAAAUAUUGUUUUUUUCAUUAUUUUUUUUCUGAAGUUUUCUGCUCAGUGUAUAUAUUUUGGUUUGUUGUUAUCGGUUUUUUUUUAUAUUGUUAUUGUUUCGUUUUUUUUUACUUGACACCAGCCGAAUAAAACUUUGUUAUUGUGU